AAUUUCUCCAAAUUUGUGAAUCCUUUGUUCAUCUUUGAACAUCGAUUGCUAGGAGUUCAUUCUCUGCAAGCAAAACUUGUCUUUGAUCGCUAGAGUUCAUUCUCUUGAUCUUAGACACAUCUACACAAGUUCUAAUCAUUCCAUAGAUCAGAUCUGAAGAUCAUCCCAUCAAACCACCUAUCAUCAACAAAAUCACCCAUAUCUCUCUCAAAUCAU
rnacentral:lncRNA from 1 species